GGUUCUAUGGUGUAAUGGUUAGCACCUUGGACUUUGAAUCCAAAGAUCCGAGUUCGAGUCUCGGUAGAACCU
rnacentral:tRNA from 1 species